rnacentral:lncRNA from 1 species
GCGACACCUUGUUACCACCAUAAUCUGCCAUCAUUCCAGCGAAAUUUCCUGAUUGACCAUUAUGUUGACCUGUAAAACCACCGCGUUGACUUGUAAAACCACCACGUCAACCUCGACUGGAUUUCCAUCGUCCACCAGUUGAACGUCCACCGGUCGCCGGUGAGAAACGUUGAUAGCAGUUUACUACUUUGUGUCCAGAUUUAUCACAGAUUUGACAUACAACAGAUGGACUCGACAAAUUUGAUUGAUGAAGAGCAGUUUGAUUGAUGUUCAUGGUUGCCAUAGCAGCAAUCGGAACAGUGGUUGAAUAAACCGACUGUGACUGUUUCAGUCGAGCUUCGUAUGUCAACAACUUUGCUCUUAACUGACAAUAGAUCUGAAGAAGAAGAAGUAGUACCUCUUGCUACGUGUAUGAGUGACGGCGAUAAAUUUGUUGUGAUGAAGGCAGACACAUAAGCAUCAGUUCUUUCCCAAGCAACUCGAGCAUCAAUAUCCACCGGCGGAGUAUGAUUUUGAUUCAGAUACCGAAGUAAUCCAAGUGUUUUUAGAAUUGUGAGUGUCUGAUGUUGCCAGUUUAGAAAAUUUGUGUCAUCUAGCUUAAUAGGCAUUAGAUCUGUGAUGUUUGGAAAAGUAUUGUUUGAAUUUGAGAUUGAUUCACUCAUGGUAGAUGUAGGUGAUGACUGAGAAGCCAUGAAUUUUGGAAGACACACAUUUCGCCGGAGAAAAACUCACCGGAUUUUUUUUACCGGAGAAGAAUGAAGAAAAGGUAUUUGACCGGAAAAGAAUCAGAAAAGUAAUUGCAAGAUAAAAGAAAUAAAGAAACGAAGAAAGAUUCAGAAAAUAUCUUUGACCGGAGAAGAAUGAUCGGAAACGUAACAGACUGCCGGAAAAAAAAAUUGAUCGCAGGAAAGAUAACAGACUUUCUUAGAGCUGUGGCUGUGCUCUGAUACCAUAAACGAGAUAUCAGGCAACAAAUCACUUUCUCAUUAACAUUCACAGUUAAUAUAAUAACUAUUUAUAGAUCACUCACACCCACAACUAACUAUCUCAACUAACUCCAACUAACUCAACUAUACAUACAUACUACAAAUACAUACACUCUAAUAUAGUAGAACACUGUUAACUUUGAGAUCUUUUAAAUGAUGUAAAACCAUGUGACUCAAGUCUCAAGCCGCCACCUUGACCCAAUAAUACGCAUACCUUUCUAUUGAAAAAUACUUUUACAGAAGAUGCCUUGUACCAGCACCUUCUAUCUCUUCCUCGCUUUCUUCCGCAAUUUAGCUACUAGAAUAUAAUAGGGGAGAUGGAAAUACUAUAGAUUUUUCAUAUCACGAAUGUUCUCCCAAAUAACAAAGAUGCAUUAAUAUACAAAUGUUAUCUAGAAGAUGCUUAGUCUCUUUCAUUAACAGAGUUAGACCUCUAGACUUUCUAACCAGCACAUAUCCUUGGGCACCUCCGGAACACUGCGUUCAGGUGUAAGCAUUUGUAAAUGCCAUAAACCACAAAUCUUGCAAAAAAAAAAGUCUCAAAAUUUGUGCAAGCACAUAGACCAAAAGAAAUAAGCUUCUUUUCCACUCAAUGAGGGUAGAGAUUCAUGAUAAAAACACCUCAAGAUAAGGAGUCAACUUAAGGUUAAGGUUAUAACGUUAGAAGAUUUGAGUUUGAGGGAUCUAAGCUUAGGACGUUCAACAAGCAUAUGGAGUUCUUCAAAGUCAUAACAAUCUUCAAUGGAUAACAACUCAAGAUUUGGAGUCAACCGAAGGUUAAGGUUACUCAACUUAGCAGAUUUGAGUUUGAGGGAUCUUAGCUUUUCACAUUCAACGGGCAUAUGAGGUGCUACAAAGUCAUAACAACAUUCAAUAGAUAACGUCUCAAGAUUUGGAGUCUGCCCAAGGUUAAGGUAACUCACAUUAGAAGAUUUAAGUUUGAGGGAUUCGAGCUUUCUACAUAUAACGGGCAUAUGGAGUUCUACGAAGUCAUAACAGUCUUCAAUAGAUUUACUGUUAGUGUUAUAAACAUAAUUAUUAUUAUUAUUAUUUGUAUUUAAACUUAGAACCUAUUAGAUGUAAGUGUGUGUUAUGAAACGUUUUAGUUUAACGGGUAUGUCGGUUAGUAGAGGAUACAAAACAUGACGGUUAUUCCCGCCAAUCCUACCAACAUAACCGUUCUAUGAUGUGUAUAUAUAAGGGUUACCGGCAAUCUUUG